rnacentral:rRNA from 1 species
CGGGCUUGAACUGCGCAGGAAGGAUGCAGAGAUGCUGACGCCCUUCGGGGCCUGCGUGGAGGUGCUGCAUGGUUGUCGUCAGCUCGUGCCGUGAGGUGUCGGCUUAAGUGCCAUAACGAGCGCAACCCCUGUCGUCAGUUGCCAUCAGGUGAUGCUGGGCACUCUGGCGAUACUGCCACCGCAAGGUGCGAGGAAGGUGGGGAUGACGUCAAAUCAGCACGGCCCUUACGUCCGGGGCUACACACGUGUUACAAUGGCGUGUACAGAGAGUCGGCUCUUGGCAACAAGGGUCCAAUCAACAAAACACGUCUCAGUUCGGAUUGGGGUCUGCAACCCGACCCCAUGAAGCUGGAUUCGCUAGUAAUCGCGCAUCAGCCAUGGCGCGGUGAAUACGUUCCCGGGCC